CACACGACUCUCGGCAACGGAUAUCUUGGCUCUCGCAUCGAUGAAGAACGUAGCGAAAUGCGAUACCUGGUGUGAAUCGCAGAAUCCCGUGAACCAUCGAGUCUUUGAACGCAAGUUGCGCCCGAGGCCAUUCGGCCGAGGGCACGCCUGCCUGGGCGUCACGC
rnacentral:rRNA from 1 species